rnacentral:rRNA from 1 species
AAUGAACGUUGGCGGCAUGGAUUAGGCAUGCAAGUCGAGCGAGAAGGGUUUUGAAGCUUGCUUUAGAACCCGGAAAGCGGCGCAAGGGAGAGUAACGAGUAGUUAUCUACCCCAAGGACCGGAAUAGAUGCGGGAAACUGCAGGUAAUGCCGGAUAAUAUCCCCGGAUCAAAGGUGUGAUUCCGCCUUGGGAGGAGACUGCUUUGUCCUAGCUAGUUGGUAGGGUAAUGGCCUACCAAGGCUACGAUGCAUAGCGGGCGUGAGAGCGUGGCCCGUCUCACUGGGACUGAAACACUGCCCAGACACCUACGGGUGGCUGCAGUCGAGAAUCUUCGGCAAUGGGCGAAAGCCUGACCGAGCGAUGCCGCGUGCGGGAUGAAGGCCCUCGGGUUGUAAACCGCUGUCGUAGAGGAGAAAGGUCUGAUGAAGAAUCAGAUUUGAUCUAUUCUAGGAGGAAGUCGGGGCUAAGUUCGUGCCAGCAGCCGCCGUAA